CGGAUAUAACUCUCAGGCUGGAGUGCCGAGAGUUAGAAACGUUCCGGCGCUGUAGGAUGUGGCUGCGGCCGAUUAGGUAGAUGGUGGGGUAACGGCCCACCAUGCCGAUAAUCGGUACAGGUUGUUGAGAGCAAGAGCCUGGAGACGGUAUCUGAGACAAGAUACCGGGCCCUACGGGGCGCAGCAGGCGCAAACCUUUACACUGCACGACAGUGCGAUAGGGGGACUCCGAGUGUGAGGGCAUAUAGCCCUCGCUUUUCUGUACCGUAAGGUGGUACAGGAACAAGGACUGGGCAAGACCGGUGCCAGCCGCCGCGGUAAUACCGGCAGUCCAAGUGAUGGCCGAUAUUAUUGGGCCUAAAGCGUCCGUAGCAAUUC
rnacentral:rRNA from 1 species